rnacentral:rRNA from 1 species
AAUUUUGGACUAUGGGGGAAACCCUGAUCCAGCCAUCCCGCGUGUAUGAUGAAGGCCUUCGGGUUGUAAAGUAAUUUUGGCAGAGAAGAAAAGGUAUCUUCUAAUACGAGAUACUGCUGACGGUAUCUGCAGAAUAAGCACCGGCUAACUACGUGCCAGCAGCCGAGGUAAUACGUAGGGUGCAAGCGUUAAUCGGAAUUACUGGGCGUAAAGCGUGUGUAGGCGGGCCGGAAAGAAAGAUGUGAAAUCCCAGGGCUCAACCUUGGAAUUGCAUUUUUAACUGCAGAGUUAGAGUAUGUCAGAGGGGGUUAGAGUUCCACGUGUAGCAGUGAAAUGCGUAGAUAUGUGGAGGAAUACCGAUGGCGAAGGCAGCCCCCUGGGAUAAUACUGACGCUCAGACACGAAAGCGUGGGGAGCAAACA